GAGUUUGAUCCUGGCUCAGGAUGAACGCUAGCGGGAGGCUUAACACAUGCAAGUCGAGGGGUAAAUGGCAGCAAUGCUAUGAGACCGGCGAACGGGUGAGUAAUGUAUCGGAACGUGCCCAGUAGUGGGGGAUAACUACUCGAAAGAGUGGCUAAUACCGCAUGAGAUCUCUGGAUGAAAGUGGGGGACCGCAAGGCCUCACGCUACUGGAGCGGCCGAUAUCAGAUUAGGUUGUUGGUGGGGUAACGGCCCACCAAGGCGACGAUGGGUAGCCGGCCUGAGAGGGUGACCGGCCACAUUGGGACUGAGAUACGGCCCAGACUCCUACGGGAGGCAGCAGUUAAGAAUCUUGCGCAAUGGGGGAAACCCUGACGCAGCGACGCCGCGUGGACGAUGAAGGCCUUCGGGUUGUAAAGUCCAAUAAGCAGGGAAGAAUAAGCAACGGGUAAUAUUCGUUGUGAUGACGGUACCUGCCUAAAGCCCCGGCUAACUACGUGCCAGCAGCCGCGGUAAUACGUAUGGGGCUAGCGUUGUUCGGAAUUAUUGGGCGUAAAGGGCGUCUAGGCGGGGGAUUAAGUUGGGUGUGAAAUCCCUGGGCUCAACCCAGGAACUGCAUCCAAAACUGGUUCUCUUGAGUUCGGGAGAGGAGAGCGGAAUUCCCGGUGUAGCGGUGAAAUGCGUAGAUAUCGGGAAGAACACCAGUGGCGAAGGCGGCUCUCUGGCCUAGAACUGACGCUGAAGCGCGAAAGCGUGGGGGGCGAACGGGAUUAGAUACCCCGGUAGUCCACGCUGUAAACGUUGUGUACUAGGUGUUAGUGACUUGUUCACUAGUGCCGACGCUAACGCAUUAAGUACACCGCCUGGGGAGUACGGCC
rnacentral:rRNA from 1 species